GCAACCAUCGCGUCGCGCGCCCAGCCGUCGCGCCGCCCACUCGCUGCCGCGCCUGCACUAUCGCCGGCCAGCACCUCCUCCUUCUCUUUUUGGCGGAGAAUUCUUUGUGGGCGACUUUUGAAUUCGUUAAAGUGGCCUAUCAGUUUGUUUACACAAGUCUCUAAGGAUCAAUAAGCAUUGUCCAUCUGCAGGUUUGAAGAUGUUGCAUCAUUGGGAUCGGGAAUAGAGAGCUUGUAUUUAGUUUUGAUUUGCUAAGUUAACUUGGGUUUGUUAAUUGGGACUUUAAACUUGUCGUACUAUUUAUAUUUCCUUAUUUUCGUUGGAUGAUUUUUGGGACUAAACCUGUAAUCGAUUACUUAUAAACCUAAAGUUAGUUUUAUGUUUUCCGCUGCAAAAUUCUGAAUAAGCCGUUACGUUUUCACACGGGCGAU